rnacentral:rRNA from 1 species
UACGAAGGGGGCUAGCGUUGCUCGGAAUCACUGGGCGUAAAGCGCACGUAGGCGGAUUGUUAAGUCAGGGGUGAAAUCCUGGAGCUCAACUCCAGAACUGCCCUUGAUACUGGCGAUCUCGAGUCCGGGAGAGGUGAGUGGAACUGCGAGUGUAGAGGUGAAAUUCGUAGAUAUUCGCAAGAACACCAGUGGCGAAGGCGGCUCACUGGCCCGGUACUGACGCUGAGGUGCGAAAGCGUGGGGAGCAAACAGG